rnacentral:rRNA from 1 species
AGUUCGAUCCUGGCUCAGAUUGAACGCUGGCGGGAUGCUUUACACAUGCAAGUCGAACGGCAGCACGGACUUCGGUCUGGUGGCGAGUGGCGAAACGGGUGAGUAAUGUAUCGGAACGUGCCGGUAGCGGGGGAUAACUACGCGAAAGCGUAGCUAAUACCGCAUACGCCCUUCGGGAAAGCGGGGGGACCUUCGGGCCUCGCACUAUUAGAGCGGCCGAUAUCGAUUAGCUAGCUGGUGGGGUAACGGCUCACCAAGGCGACGAUCCGUAGCUGGUUUGAGAGGACGACCAGCCACACUGGGACUGAGACACGGCCCAGACUCCUACGGGAGGCAGCAGUGGGGAAUUUUGGACAAUGGGGGAAAUCCCUGAUCCAGCCAUCCCGGCGCAAGCGAAGGCCUGGCUAGAAGCACUUUUGCAGGAAGAAACGGCACGGGAUAAUACCCCGUGCAACUGACGGUACCUGCAGAAUAAGCACCGCCAACUACGUGCCAGCAGCCGCGGUAAUACGUAGGUGCUGCUAAUCUGGAAUUACUGGGCGUAAAGCGUGCGCAGGCGGUUCGAAAGAAAGAUGUGAAAUCCCAGAGCUUAACUUUGAACUGCAUUUUAAUCACCGAGCUGGAGUGUGUCAGAGAGGUGGAAUUCCGCGUGUAGCAGUGAAAAUGCGUAGAUAUGCGGAGGAACACCGAUGGCGAAGGCAGCCUCCUGGGAUAACACUGAUUGCCCAGGCCUGAAAGCGUGGGGAGCAAACAGAUUAGAUAUCUCUGGUAGUCCACGCCCUAAACGAUGUCAACUAGCUGUUGGGGCCUUCGCCUCGGUAGCGCAGCUAAUGCGUGAAGUUGACCUGCCUGGGGAGUACGGUCGUAAGAUUAAACCCAGUUGAUUUGGGACCCGCACAAGCGGUGGAUGAUGUGGAUUAAUUGAUGCAACGCGAAAACCCUACUCGACUCUUGACAUGUCUGAAUCCCGAAGAGAUUUGGGAGUGCUCGCAAGAGAACCGGAACUCACAGGUGCUGCAUGGCUGUCGCCUGGGGCUCGUGUCGUGAGAUGCUGGGUUAAGUCCCGCAACGAGCGCAACCCUUGUCAUUAGUUGCUACGAAAGGGCACUCUAUCGAGACUGCCGGUGACAAAACCGAGGAAGGUGGAUGACGUCAAGUCCUCAUGGCCCUUGGCGGGUAGGCCGCACGUCAUACAAUGGUCGGGACAGAGGGUCGCCAACCCGCGAGGGGGAGCCAAUCCUGUGAACCCGAUCGUAGUCCGGAUCGCAGUCUGCAACUCGACUGCGUGAAGUCGGAAUCGCUAGUAAUCGCGGAUCAGCAUGUCGCGGUGAAUACGUCUUCGGGUCUUGUACACACCGCCCGUCACACCAUGGGAGGGAGCUACCAGAAGUAGUUAGCCUAGCCGUAUGAGGGCGAUUACCACGGUAGGAUUCAUGACUGGGGUGAAGUCGUACAAGGCAGUU